AAUUCUCGCAGCAUCAGUUCAGUUCUCCUCCAUCGUUCGUCCGUGUUACAUCGCGUGGUUCUUAGACGCUUAGUGUUCUGAACCAGAAUUCCAGUGUUCUUCCCAUUCCCAGUCCCAGGAAUCUCUUCCCUGUGUGUUUGUGUGGAACGUGAGGAACGCUCCGUUGAUUACCCUACGAUUGCUACGCAGGAGGCUUUGCCGGUUUCUCCGACUCCCGCAAAGUCCCGGCUACCCACUCCAGCUUGCCGCAGUAGGCGUUUCAGUUCGUGCCUGGAGUGUGUGUCCUAGGAAAUCGCAAUGAGGCUGCUUCAGUUGGAUUUGCUAAUAAUUUGCCUGAUCGCAGUGCACCUGUGCCAUGCCCAGCAGCAACCGCCCUUCCCGACCAUCGCCGCCAUCAGCCCGGAGCAGAUCAAGGACAUCGGCGAAAGCGUUACGCUCGAGUGUGACAUCACCAACGUGGGCAAGUUCACCGUCGGAUGGCAGAAGACGAACCGCGAGCGGUCCCAGCAGGUCAACACCAUCUCCCUCGGACCGACGCUGGCCGUCGCCGAGGAACGGUUCCGGGUCGACGUGGACAAGGAGAAUAACACCAUGAAGUACAAGCUGACGAUCAGCGACAUCAUCAACACCGAUGCCGGCCUGUACGAGUGCCAGAUCCAGGUCAACAGCACCAGCAAGGUGACGAACACCGUCGAACUCCAGGUGCGCCACCCACCGAUCCUGCAGGACAACCUGAUGUCCACGACUGUGACCAAGGCCGAAGGCGAAGACGUGAAGCUGUCCUGCGUAGCCGAAGGCUACCCGCGACCAUCGAUCACGUGGAAGCGCGAGUACAACGCCAUCCUCCCGAUUGGAGGACACUCGUUCAGCGGAAACGAGCUGUCGCUGAGCUCGCUGGCCAAGGAAGAUCGCGGUCCGUACUACUGCCUGGCGGACAACGGCGUGGGAAAGGCGGACUCGAGGACGAUCAACCUGGAGGUGGAGUUUGCGCCGGUCAUUUCCGUUCCGCGACCAAAGGUGGCCCAGGCCGUGGAGUACGACAUUGAGCUGGAGUGCAUCGUGCAGGCGUUCCCGUCGCCGGCGAUUUCGUGGUUCAAGAACGGACAGCAGAUUCACAACGGUGGUUCGUACAGCAUCUCGCAGACUGGCCAGCCGGACGACGUGACCACUUCGGUGGUCAAGAUCAGCUCGGUGGAGAGUUCCCACUACGGUGAUUACAUCUGCAAGGCUUCGAACAAAGUUGGCCACGCCGAAUCAAGACUGAAUCUGUAUGAAUCGGUUAUUCCUGUGUCUUAUUAAUGUUUCAAUGUUUUAACUUUAAUUUUUAAACGGUUGAGUUUGUUUCGGUUUAUUUGCGUUUUUUUUAAAAGAGCAACGGUUACCCAACAUCAACUUUUCCGGCCUGAAGUGGGCCAGCUCGGGCCGCGUCCUGUCCAGCCAGCUGGGCAUCCUUGCGGUCACCGUACUGCUGGCAACACUGUUGUGAAUAAGACGGCGAAGUUAGUUGCUGUCGCCGGCCAAACCUUGGGCAACUACCUGCAACCGUAAACCUGGCCCAUCAAACCGAACCCUAACGAACCCAACCACAAAUCGACAAAAGUGCAAAUUUUUACAAACAGGCAGCCAGCAGAAUAAAAUUUACCCCCUCCCUGAGCGUUCGAGCAUAUCUUUAACACAAAAGUAGGUUGACAAUUUCUACCCGUUUAGGAACCCUGUACAAAAAGAGCGUAACAAAUGGAACAAAUUAGCGAACCUUUUUUGCCCUGCGGGCAGCAGUCGAAUUAUAAUAUUUGAGAUAACUUACCUGAACAUAAACCAUGACGGACUGAAUGGCGUCGAUUAGCAGCUAAGCCAACCAAUUUUGGGAACUUACAUGUGUGAGAAUAAAAGACAGUUCUACAAAACUA
rnacentral:misc_RNA from 1 species